CUACGGAAUACCUGAAUGCUUUUAGUGUAAAAGUGCAGAGCAGACGCAAGGAGCAAUGGGAGAAGAGUGUGAAGGCUUUGCUGCUGAGAACCAUGCUGCCCAUGAGCCAGGUGGUGUAAAGCCACAAAGAAGCUGUACGGUGCUGUCAGUCCUGGUGAUGAUACGCCCUCCUGUGAACUGGACUCGGGGCAGAAUCUGAUGUAGUCAUAUAUCUGUUGAUAUAUGCCAAAUCACAGAUCCAUACUCCUACGUAGAAGAGACAUCGACAGCCCGCCUUGCCAACAGGAGAACCAUUUAUGUGGCCAGCAUUUGGAUGCCAAGUGCAUGAAGUUGCUUUUCUUUUGAACCUGGUGGCAAGUCAGUCUGACCAUCUCAAUGCACAGAGGUGACCAGCUUUCUCUGCCGGGGCAAUUCUUUUCUUGCCACCAUGCCCAGGCUGCCCUGGGGGUUGCCUCCACGCUGCCCCCAGCCUGGUGGAGACCCCAUCCGCUUUACUAGACCCCAUCCGCUCAUGACUGUAUCUGGAUUUUGAGGAUAUUUUAACAUUAGAGUAACUUAUUAUGGAAAACGACAGAUUGUCUGUCACUGGAAACCUUGAGGAGAGGCUUUCUAAAACGUGCCCUUGAUGUCAGCUGGCUGCGAGGCAGGAAUCCCUGCAUGGCGUUCCUCCGUCUGCCUUUUGCUAAAGAGCAGCCUGAACGAUUGUCGCGAUUCCUCUCCCUCCCUGAAAAUCUGCCUAGGAAAUCCUGCGUCUGCGGCAGUCAAUGGCAGCUUUCAUAACCCGUGACUGUGCAGGGCUUUCUCCACUUUCUUCGCAGCGACUACCCUUCGUUCUUCCUUCCCGCUGGGAUAAGCAAGCUAUAUCUAAGAGAGACAGAGAGCAGAGGGGAGCC